GGAAUUUUCCGCAAUGGGCGAAAGCCUGACGGAGCAACGCCGCGUGAGGGAUGAAGGCCUCUGGGCUGUAAACCUCUUUUAUCAAGGAAGAAGAUCUGACGGUACUUGAUGAAUAAGCCACGGCUAAUUCCGUGCCAGCAGCCGCGGUAAUACGGGAGUGGCAAGCGUUAUCCGGAAUUAUUGGGCGUAAAGCGUCCGCAGGCGGUCUUGUAAGUCUGUCGUCAAAGCGUGGAGCUUAACUCCAUUUACGCGAUGGAAACUGCAAGACUAGAGUGUGGUAGGGGCAGAGGGAAUUCCCGGUGUAGCGGUGAAAUGCGUAGAUAUCGGGAAGAACACCAGUGGCGAAGGCGCUCUGCUGGGCCAUAACUGACGCUCAUGGACGAAAGCCAGGGGAGCGAAAGGGAUUAGAUACCCCUGUAGUCCUGGCCGUAAACGAUGAACACUAGGUGUCGGGGGAAUCGACCCCCUCGGUGUCGUAGCCAACGCGUUAAGUGUUCCGCCUGGGGAGUACGCACGCAAGUGUGAAACUCAAAUGAAUUGACGGA
rnacentral:rRNA from 1 species